rnacentral:rRNA from 1 species
UUAAAUUGAAGAGUUUGAUCAUGGCUCAGAUUGAACGCUGGCGGCAGGCCUAACACAUGCAAGUCGAACGGUAACAGGAAGCAGCUUGCUGCUUUGCUGACGAGUGGCGGACGGGUGAGUAAUGUCUGGGAAACUGCCUGAUGGAGGGGGAUAACUACUGGAAACGGUGGCUAAUACCGCAUAACGUCGCAAGACCAAAGAGG